GCCUAUAGCAUGUAUUUAUCUCUCUCUCUCUCUCUCUCUCUCUCUCUCUCUCUCUCUCUCUGUGUGUGUGUGUGUGUGUGUGUGUGUGUGUGUGUGUGUGUGUGUGUGUGUGAGAGAGAGAGAGAGAGAGAGAGAGAGAGAGAGAAAUUAAAUCUCACA
rnacentral:miRNA from 1 species